rnacentral:lncRNA from 1 species
UGAAUCCGAGCGUUCUCUGGUCUGGACAGAGUGCCAGGCCUGUGGCAAAGCAGGUAACCUUUGAAACGGAAUCUGAUCUGCUGUCGGCCACUGCCCAGGCCACAGUCUGCCAAAGGGACAGCUGAACGAAAGGCUCAACUUCCUCCUUCAUCAGCUCCAAGUUCCAGGACAAGAGGCAGAACCAGGUGCCACCGAGCCUGCCACAGGUUUCUGCUUCUUGCCAAGUGUCUAUCUCUUACUCUACCGACCAUCACCAUUGACGUGUGUGAGGGGACAUCUGGAAGCACAGUCCUCUAAGGCCACUUCCAGCAUCGAUGGUGUCAGGUCAGGUCCUCUGGGUAGAAGAAAUGGAGUCAGUUAGGAGUGCUGGAGACUGAGUAAGAGGUGGCAGCUGAGGCUUACUACCCCAGGAAAGGGAUGCCACCAGAGAAGGCAGACAACCAAGAUGGCGACUCUCAAUUUUUGAGCUCCUAAUUUUCUCAUGUCAGACAUAAGAAAAAAAAAUAUUUUUUAAAGAAAAAGCUUUAGGUUGCAAAAAUCUAGGCCUUUCAACUUUAAAAUCCUAUUCUUGCAAGCCUUGGAGAAUAAAGCUUAUGCAUAAACAGUAGAUUUGGAAACAGAAAUAUGCCUAAUUACCCAGAGCCAUUCUUUCAAUACGCCAGUGAUUGUUUAAAGAUUCUAUAGGCUGGAGUCAAUGGCAGGAGGCGGGUGGGAAAAGAGUCAAGAGGGAGGAGAGAAGAAGCAAGAGGGUUGGGUAGAUAUUGUCACAUGACCCUGAGAGGAGGAUUCUGGGUCAAACCCCUAGGGGGUUGUGUGUAAUGGAGACUCCAGAUCCAUUUGGGAAUCUGGCUCCAAAGAAGACUUCACCUUGCCUUCUGAGUGGAGCCCUGAAGUGGCAAGACUCAUAGAAUUCCCCCACGGGUCCACACAAGAGAGAAUGAAUAGAGAAGGCUGCGUGCUGGCUGGACCAAGGCAGCCUCGGGUGACACCACCACCACCACCGCCGCUGCCGCCAUCGCCAUCACCACUGCCGCUGCCAUCACCGCCACCACCACCACCAUCACCACCACCAUCACCACAUUAUGGACAAUAGCCCAAUGUUUCCUGAGUUCCCUAGAGGGUUGAAAGAGAAUAGGACCUAGAGAGAUCACAUAGUUGGGACAGGCACUCAUUAAUUUGAUCCAAUGACAAGAGACCAGAUGGGAAGAAGGAUGCCUUGAGAGAUGUCAGUGUGCACCCAUGGAUAGAAGCAGCUGGUGACUGGGUACUUGGGAAGCCACAUGGACACACACAAAGCUCCUGGAAGACGUUUUCAAGGAGUUGGGCUGUGCUGGGAUCCAGAACUGGCUGAAGAAACCAUGAGCUGACAUAAAAUUUCUGCCACCUAGCAGAAUGGAGGCUCCAUUUGGAAAUUAAAUUAUAUACUUAAAAAAACUAUAAUUGCUUCAUUUCUUUUUUUUGAGAUGGAGUUUCACUCUUGUUGCCCAGGCUGUAGUGCAAUGGCACCAUCUCAGCUCACUGCAAACUCCGCUCCCGGGUUCAAGAGGUGAUCCUGCCUCAGCCUCCCGAGUAGCUAGGAUUACAGGUGUGCGGCCACCAUGCCCCGCUAAUUUUGUAUUUUCAGUAGAGACGGGGUUUUACCAUGUUGGUCAAGCUGGUCUCAAACUCCUG